rnacentral:rRNA from 1 species
UACGUAGGGCGCAAGCGUUGUCCGGAAUUAUUGGGCGUAAAGAGCUCGUAGGCGGCCUGUUGCGUCCGCUGUGAAAUCCCGGGGCUCAACCCCGGGCCUGCAGUGGAUACGGGCUGGCUAGAGGCAGGCAGGGGAGAACGGAAUUCCUGGUGUAGCGGUGAAAUGCGUAGAUAUCAGGAGGAACACCUGUGGUGUAGACGGCUUUCUGGACCAUUGCUGACGCUGAGACACGAAAGCGUGGGUAGCAAACAGG